GGUUUGCGGUGCUCGGCGCCCGGACUCCUUCCGACCGCCCCCUCUGAUGUGCACCCGUGAGCCCGAAACGCUCGAGCAGUUUCCUUUGUUUUCGGAAAUGGCAGUUUUGUUCUCCCCGAUAAAAGCGAGCGCCGCGGCCCCUCCGGAUGCAGAGCACGCCGGGCUUCGCUGAGCCCGGAAGGAUGUCUUUGAAGAGCAGCUUUCGCAAUUGUGACUGGACCUGUAGCAACCGUGGCUGAUACAGGAGCGAGACAAAGAUUGAGUCCUGGUUUGGGACUCAGCUGAGAUGGAAGACAGAAGGCCACAGGGAAAUUAAAAUCAAGGAGAACCCCUCACCUGCGAAGCUCUAAAUGUUGCUGAUCUUUGGUAUCUGACCCAGAGUUUAUGAAAUAAAGGCACAAUGCAUUGCAAUUCCCAAAAA